CUGAGUUGUCGACACGAGUUGUUGCUGGCCCUCAAACGGGGGCACGUGCACGCUCUGUUCACACAUCCACUCACACCUGUGCACCCUCCGUAGUUCUAUGGGUCUGGGGGACGUGCCGUCUUCCUCCUGUAGUUCUACGUCUUUACACAUACACCGUAGUGAAGUCUUAUGGAAUGUUUUCCGCGUUUAACGCAAUACAAUA
rnacentral:misc_RNA from 1 species